AUUGAACGCUGGCGGCAUGCUUUACACAUGCAAGUCGAACGGUAACAGGCCUUCGGGUUCUGCCGAGUGGCGAACGGGUGAGUAAUGCAUCGGAACGUGCCCAGAGGUGGGGGAUAACGCAGCGAAAGCUGUGCUAAUACCGCAUGUGAUCUGAGGAAGAAAGCGGGGGACCAGGCAGCAAUGUUUGGCCUCGCGCCUUUGGAGCGGCCGAUGUCAGAUUAGGUAGUUGGUGGGGUAAAGGCCUACCAAGCCGACGAUCUGUAGCUGGUCUGAGAGGACGACCAGCCACACUGGGACUGAGACACGGCCCAGACUCCUACGGGAGGCAGCAGUGGGGAAUUUUGGACAAUGGGCGCAAGCCUGAUCCAGCAAUGCCGCGUGCGGGAAGAAGGCCUUCGGGUUGUAAACCGCUUUUGUACGGAACGAAAAGGCUCUGGCUAAUACCUGGGGCUGAUGACGGUACCGUAAGAAUAAGCACCGGCUAACUACGUG
rnacentral:rRNA from 1 species